GACGAACGCUGGCGGCGUGCUUAACACAUGCAAGUCGAACGGAAAGGCCCUGCUUUUGUGGGGUGCUCGAGUGGCGAACGGGUGAGUAACACGUGAGUAACCUGCCCUUGACUUUGGGAUAACUUCAGGAAACUGGGGCUAAUACCGGAUAGGAGCUCCUGCUGCAUGGUGGGGGUUGGAAAGUUUCGGCGGUUGGGGAUGGACUCGCGGCUUAUCAGCUUGUUGGUGGGGUAGUGGCUUACCAAGGCUUUGACGGGUAGCCGGCCUGAGAGGGUGACCGGGCACAUUGGGACUGAGAUACAGCCCAGACUCCUACGGGAGGCAGCAGUGGGGAAUAUUGCACAAUGGGCGGAAGCCUGAUGCAGAAACGCCGCGUGCGGGAUGACGGCCUUCGGGUUGUAAACCGCUUUCGCCUGUGACGAAGCGUGAGUGACGGUAAUGGGUAAAGAAGCACCGGCUAACUACGUG
rnacentral:rRNA from 1 species